AAAGCAGUCUGUUGAGAUGAGAAACAGUGUGUGUCACAGUGCAACAAUAUAUGCAAAUGCAAUUAUGCAUGCUGGAACAACUGUAGAUACAUUCCUUAGGGAGAACCUAGACUGGCUAAGCCGAGCGACAAAUUGGGCCAAAUUUAGUGCAACAGCUGGAUUAGGUGUUAUUCACUGUGGCCACUUGCAGCAAGGGAGGUCACUUAUGGCCCCUUACUUGCCGCAAGGUGCAGCCGGUGGAGGUGGUAGUCCAUAUUCGGAAGGUGGUGCAUUGUAUGCUCUUGGGUUAAUUCAUGCAAAUCAUGGGGAGGGCAUCAAGCAAUUUCUUCGUGAAAGUCUACGAAGUACCAAUGUAGAGGUUAUUCAGCAUGGUGCUUGCUUAGGGCUUGGCUUGGCAGCUUUAGGAACCGCCGAUGAAGACAUUUAUGACGACAUCAAGACUGUCCUAUAUACUGACAGUGCGGUUGCUGGAGAAGCUGCUGGUAUUGGUAUGGGCUUAUUAAUGGUUGGAACUGCAAGUGAGAAG
rnacentral:misc_RNA from 1 species